CCAAAAGGGAACUCAGUAAACUCCAAACUCUUUCUGCCCACACCCACCUGGGCCAGCCCUGAUCCCUGCACCAUUGCCCCCUGGGCCCUGCAGGACCUCCUGCUGCUGUGACUGCUGGCAGUCCUUCCCCUGUAUCCCUGCAGCCCCUCCCAGCUGCACUUCCCUGUCUGGUCCCCGUGGCCCAUCUGGACUCCUGUCUCCUGCUCCGCAUGGGGGUUUCUGCCUCCACCAGCCCUGUCAGGGCCUUGCUCACUUGAUUAAGUCCCGCUCAGCCGGUUCACCCCGCUCUCUUUCCUCCCUCCCCUGAAUCAUUUACUACCAAGCAUCUUCACUGCACCAGCCCUGGGGAGGCGAGGAUGCAAGUCUGCCUGCCUGGAGCUGAAGGUUGCACAGGGGUUAAGUAAGUGCAGAGAGGUGAGCAGAGCAGAUAGAAGGGUUGUGCCAGGACCCAAGGGCAGGGAAGGAGGCCCUGCAUGCAGAUCCGGCUCAGAAAAUGAGGACCAUUCAGGGCAGGGGAGGCUGGCAGAGGGCCAGCCCUGCAGGCCGCUCAGGCCACAUUGAAGAUGUCCUCCUUGCUGGUGGAGAGUGUUCAGAGGACAAUGUGAUGGGGGCUGUGGUUUGAAAGGUAACUGAGCUUAGGAAAUGGAGGGAGUGGAGAGGGUGGCUGGGAGGCCGUGCAGGGUCCCAGCGUAGGAAGCUGGCGGUGGCCCCGGGAUAAAGGGCAAAGACUCGAGAGGCUUAUAGGAAGCAGAAUCGAUGGCACAUCUCAUGGCAGUCAGUUAAACCAUCUGGUUUAUUUAAUGGCCUUGUGCGUCCCUUUGGCAGCACCGAUAGCACCUAGCAUGUAACUCAGUACCUAGUAGGUGGAAUGUUCUGGGAAUGAAUGAAAGAGGGAAAGGUAAUUGAAUGAAUGGAUUUAACAGGUGGAGAAGUGUUGCUCUGUGCCUCAGGGCGGUGUGUCCCCUGGGUGAGCUGGCGACAACCCCGGUUUGGGGCACGCCUAGCAGCAGGGAGAGGAGGGAGGCCAUGGGCUGUCUCUCCAGACCCUGGGGCAGCGUGAAAACUCUGUCCCCUCCCACUGUGCUCACAAAGACCUGUUUUCAUAACUUGUCAUUUCCCCACACGCCCACAGGCAGGAACAGGCACUGCCCUGAUAAAUAAAUCUGGGCUACUUUUCAGCAUCGUUUAACGUCCCUGGGAAGGUUGGGUCACGUGGCCUCCAGCAGCAGCCCAUUAGCUGACAGGCUGAAGCAUAUCAUAUUGAAUUCCACGGCCCAGGGAGCCCGAGAGACCCCGUGCUGCUCGGAAAUCUGCGCUGAUUUAUUAGAAUGCAAUUGUGCUGCUCAUUUCCUAUAAUGAGCACGUUGCUCCCUCCUUGUGCCAGGACCAUUUUCGCAAACCUCCAGUGGGAGUGGGAGGACCUUGAACUCACUCCCUGUCUAUAGCUUGAAAGGAAGAGGGGAUGGCCCGGAAGGGAGGUUGUGGGGGGCAGGGACCAGUGAUGGGGCCUGACCUUGGGUGCUGCUCGCAGAGAGGGGUUCUCAAAGCAUUGUGUUGUCCUCCUGUCCCCUCUCCACCCCUGCCCCCUGUCUUCAGUCUCCCUGUUCACCUACCUCUGUCCCUGGGUCCCCUGGCUCUCAGCCACUGCUGUAGCAAAACCUAGGGACUGGCCAGCCAGGGACUCGGCCCCUGAUGCCCACGGCCUGGUCACAGCACAGUGCAUCUGCCUCUGCCCCACCUCCUGGGACCCUCCCCACCCCUACAGGCCUGCGCUUCUGCCUUUAGUACAUGCUGCAUGCACCCACCACAGCUCUGUGCAAACUAAACUGAGGCACAUGCUUUAUGGUCCAUGCACUCAAGAUGGCUGCGCUCUUGCUCUUUGUCCAUCUCCUGUUUAACCAGUGGCUGCUUCAGCUGCAUCCUACUCACCUGAGCCUAUCUGUUCCCUGCCGCAGCUGGUGACUGUUCUAGUCCUUAGGCUGGAAUGGCUCCACCUGCUAGUCUGUUAAAGGGAAUCAUCUGCCCUCAUGAUGGUUGUUAACCUGAGAGGCGGUACAGGACUUGCCCCAGUGCUGGUCUCCCUGGUGAUGGGUGGGCCAACCUGACGUCAGUUCCCCUAUCAAUGGUAGCCUCUUCCCCACACUAGAGAAGAUUGCUGCCAUGUCUCACUGCUGCCCAUGGUGGACUGUCGCUCUAGGACCCUUGGUUUCAGACCUGGAUCUGUAAGUUACCCCAUCCAAGAAGCCAUUGAUGUUUCUGUUGCCAUUUCCAGGCUCUGGCUUUGGUCUCCAGGCUGGGCAACUACAAGGCUUACAGGCCUGCAGGAUGCAGCCGAACAAUUGUCAAGCCAGCCAGGAAGCUGAAGAAACUCCUGUGAGUGCUGAGAUGCCAGGAGAUAAGGACAGGGAAAGAAAAUUGUGGGGGUGACCCAGGCUGGCCAUCCACCAGCACAUGGGGCCCUGUGACAGCUGAUCACCAUGAGAGGUGUCCUUCUCUUCCCUUAUGGAAUGAUCUUCUGUUAAACUCAGUCUCUUUCUAGUUGAAAAGUAGCAGCCCCGUGCUCUUGGCUGCUACUUGUGAACACCGACAAAUGCAAGGACCUGGGUUAUCUGUGAAAUACUGGGGUGUUAUGCGGUUGGGUAAGACAAGGUACCCCCAACCCACCACUCUAAACAACUACACACACAGGCUUUAGGGAUAUUAAUUCGGAGAGAGGCUUGUAAAUUGGAUGUGGCUAGUUACCAGGAAGGGUUAGGUUGAGGCCUGUGGUAAUAGCAGAAUAGUAGAGUACCCUUGGGCCACUGGUCCCAGCUACAGGCUGGUGGGUGGGUAUCCUAACUAUGGGCUAUGGGAAAUGGGGAGUCCCAGCCAUGGGCUAUAGGGUAUGGGGGGGGUCCCAGCCAUGGGCUAUAGGGUAUGAAGUGUGUCCCAGCCAUGGGCUAUAGGGUAUGGGGCUUCCUAGCUAUGGGCUAUAGGGCAUGGGGGGUCUCAGUUAUGGGCUAUAGGGUAUGGGGGUUCCUAGCUAUAGGUUAUAGGGUAUGGGGGGUCCCAGCCAUGGGCCAUGGGGAGGGGGUCCCAGCUACGAGCCCUGCUAUGGACUAUGGGAAGGGGGUCCCAGCUAUGGGCUAUGGGAGUGGGGGAAUCCCAGCUCUGGGAGGGGCAGAGCAACCAAAUAAUGUGAUGCCCCAACAGCUAAUGCCCUCUGCAGCGGGUUCCAUCAGGAGGAAGACAAUUAACAAGGUCACCCUGAGUAACUGAAAAAUGCAAAAGCCACUAUUCGGGAUCUAGAACAUCUGUGUGCUCCCCCACGGGAACCCCUGGUCAUCAAGAGGGACCAAGGACCCCACCCUGAAGAUCAGGAGACGGCCGAUAAGAAUGUUGCAUGCCGAUGUUUCCACACAUCCUAUAGUCCCACUGCUGCCAGGCUUAACAGAGAUGGGAACCCACUCUCAGCGUGGACCAGGAGGCUGAUUGAUGCCCAAGAACCAUCACUGCACAGCCCAGGAGCAGUGGUCCUAGUGCCUACACUGGGUUAACCCAGAUAGCUAGUCACCAUCUGAAUUCAGCUGUCGACCACAGAAGGGCCAUUGCCCACUCUGGGUCAAGACAGUAACUCGCUUUGGACCUCACCCUGGACCCACCCCAGGAGCACAUUAUAAACGGCCCUGGGACUGGCAGCUUGUGUUUCAUCCCUGGUCUGAGCAGAGGGAAUCUGUCCUCCGCCUGACAACAGUGGUGUCCUGGCUGGGAAAUGAGUCUGACUGCUGGGUCUACAGUGAGAUAUCACUGUCAUCCUCCUCUGGACUUCCGUGAAAAACUGACCUGAUUGUUGCCUGGUUUACUCUCGAAACUCAUUUAGGGGCUGUCGUCUGUUUCCCAUUUGUGGCAUUUGGUUCAGUGCACCUCUACAAACCUGACCCCAUGGAUAUGGUGGAAAGGGGGCUGACCGAGCUUGUAUGGGGCAUGCAGGGUAGGUAGGGGUGGGGUGACCAUCAGGCCACUCUAGAUGGCUGCCUCUUGCUCUUUGUCCAUCUCCUGCUUAACCAGUGGCUGCUUCAUCUGCAUCCUACUCACCUAAGCCUUUGCCCCCUGCCCCAGCUGGUGACCGUUCUAGUCCUUAGGCUGGAAUGGCUCCACCUGCUAGUCUGUUAAAGGGAAUCAUCUGCCCUCAUGAUGGUUGUUAACCUGAGAGGCGGUACAGGACUUGCCCCAGUGCUGGUCUCCCUGGUGAUGUGUGAGCCAACCUGACGUCAGUUCCCCUCUCAAUGGCAGCCUCCUUCUCCCCACACUAGAGAGAAGACUGUUGCCGUGUCGGCCUGCCUUUUGCUGUGCAUGCGAGGCAUCACUCCAGGACCCUUUGUUUUAGACCUGUAAGAUCCCAUUUCCAAUAAACCGUCGAUGUCUC